AUGAUGUAUGGGUGAUUCGGCCACAUCUAUUGGACUAAAUACACGGCCCAUACUCCUACGGGAGGCAUCAUUAAGGAAUCUUCCCCAAUAGACAAAAGUCUGACGGAGCAACGCCCCUUGAGUGAUGAAGGUUUUCAGAUCAUAAAGCUCUGUUGUUAAGGAAGAACAAUUACCGUUCGAAUAGGGCGGUACCUUGACGGUACCUAACCAAAAAGCCACGGCUAACUACGUGCCACCAACCGCGGUAAUACUUAGGUGGCAAGCGUUGUCCGGAUUAUUGGGCGUAAAGGGCUCGCAGCGGUUUUUAAAUCAAUGUGAAACCCCGGCUCUCCGGGGAGGUCUUGGAAAUGGGGAAU
rnacentral:rRNA from 1 species